AUUGAACGCUGGCGGCAUGCCUUACACAUGCAAGUCGAACGGUAACAGGUCUUCGGAUGCUGACGAGUGGCGAACGGGUGAGUAAUACAUCGGAACGUGCCCAGACGUGGGGGAUAACGAGGCGAAAGCUUUGCUAAUACCGCAUACGAUCUAAGGAUGAAAGCAGGGGACCGCAAGGCCUUGCGCGUUUGGAGCGGCCGAUGGCAGAUUAGGUAGUUGAUGGGAUAAAAGCUUACCAAGCCGACGAUCUGUAGCUGGUCUGAGAGGACGACCAGCCACACUGGGACUGAGACACGGCCCAGACUCCUACGGGAGGCAGCAGUGGGGAAUUUUGGACAAUGGGCGAAAGCCUGAUCCAGCAAUGCCGCGUGCAGGAUGAAGGCCUUCGGGUUGUAAACUGCUUUUGUACGGAACGAAAAGGCUCUGGCUAAUACCUGGGGCACAUGACGGUACCGUAAGAAUAAGCACCGGCUAACUACGUG
rnacentral:rRNA from 1 species